UUUUUUUUUUUUUUUAAGAUUUUUAGAAUUUAUUUGACAGACAGAAAGAAAGAGAGCACAAGCAGAAGGAGCAGCAGGCAGUGGGAGUGGGAUCCGCUGAGCAGGGAGACGGAUGCAGGGCUCCAUCCCAGGAUCAUGACCUGAGCUGAAGGCAGGCACUUAACCAGCUGAGCCACCCAGGUAUCCCAAAUAAAUAAAUUCUUAAAAACAUUUUUUAAAAUGGUAUUAUAUUUCAGCCUCAACUUCCACUUAGUAUCUUAUUAAUGGUUUUCAGCAAAUCACUAAGGGACAGAAAAUGAACAUUUCUUUUAAAAAAUAUUUAAACUUGCUUAUUAUAGUGACAAUACAUGCGUUGGAGUAAAAAAAAAUUCAGAGUACAAAAGCAUGUAAAAUAAAAAGGUGCCCUCCUGAUCCUUUCUUCAGAAGUAAUCACUUCCUUUCUUCAGAAGUAAUCACUGUAAACAAUUGUUUGCCCUUCCCGCCAUAAUCUUGUGCUUAUAAAGUAUAUAUAUGCAUAUCCUUUUUGUUUGGAAACAAACAGCAAAUGAAAUUAGAUACUAUUAAUUGGUUAUUAGCAUUAGUUUUCCAAGAGCAACCUAUAUUGUUCUUAUUCAGAAUGAGUACUUCAUAAUAUUCUUGACACAAUUAAAAAAAAACUAAAAAAAAAAACCUCCCUUCAGCUUUUUGAGAAAGUUUGUGGGCUGCACCGUCCUUGGCUCUCCACCCCUGGAACUCCCCCAUCUUAUCCUCAGCAGCUUCUAGCAGCCAGAGACUGGCACCCGCCCACCCAUGUUUUCUUGGCCUGUGGCCGGCUGUGGUCAAACCAGCCCCAGAGAGCAGGGGUGUGGCUGAGGGUAGCAAAGAAGGAAGAGAAAACAAAUUUCCCAUGAGUAGUUGGGAAAGAGUGACAAGAGUCAAAUCAAAUUGACAUAAGAGGCUAGCACCCAAAAGUGUUUUAUUACAUGUGUUUAAAUAAAAGGUAUCGGGAAGAAUGUUCUAUAAGGGUUCAAAAGGCAGUGGGUUCAGGAACACCAGGCUCCUUAAAGUGGUAACUGCAGCUGCAUAUGAAAGCUCAGUCUGUGGGUAUGAGGAGUAAGAAGGGACUUGGGGUCCCUGUGGACAAACCUGCUCCCCAGAAGUCCGGGGGACAUGGGGGGGUGGUGUUGGAGAGAGAUCCCCUCAGAGAAGGGGAACAGCAGGACAUCAAGGUUGGGCCUGGUGACAGAUGAAGGAGAGGAGGGAAUGCUCUGGACUUCUUCACUGAAAAUUAGACUUCACUUCCUCCAUUUUCUACCUGCUUGUGUCUUUUCCCACCUCACUGUUCUUAGCCCAAUUGCUUUAUUUGACUUCUGUGACAGGCUUUGCUUGCGCUCAGCCCCCAGUCAUGACUCUAAGAUGACUGAUGUCUCCUUCUGAUUGUGAACCCUUCUCAGGGGUUGAAUGCUAAGGCAAAAGUAAAAAUCUAAAACAGAGAUUCUGAUAACCUUGGGGGAUGGAGAAAUAGAUCUUUGCCUCUUUCUUUUGGCUUAUUCACUUAAUCUUUGUUCUCUGGAUUGUUUCUACCUCCACCUGGGCCAGAAAAUAAGAUUACAGAAUGGCUUAGAGUUUCUAAAUUAGUCUGUUACAGAAACCAGCACCUCAGCCUACAGGCCUGGCUCAGAGCCCACACUCAAGAAAGCAAAAUCUCCUCUUGGGUGGGGCUUUCCUAGACAUAAAGGUUUUACCAUGCCUCUAAGCAGGGAAAGCUUGGGCCAAGAUUAUAUUGGGCAGGUAAUAAAAUUAAGGACAAUAAAACCAGAUAAACCACCUCAUUAGCCGCAGUUUACUGGUAUAAGCUAUUUCAACAAAGAGAGGUAAAAUGGAGGACUCAAAAUGCCUGCUGUUAAGUUCUUUUAUAAAACAGUCUCCUCUGCAAAGGGAAUGAUCUCUUCGUGGCUUGGUUGAGAGGGCACAUGUGCAUUUAUCCAACACUGGGUGAGAAUAAGUAGGAGCUCAAAGGGGAGUCUCUGGGAUUUGGUCUCUUUACUCUUACUAUAAAAGAUCAUCACUGAGCUGCUAAAUCUCUUAGAACCUUUUUUUUCAGCCGUGGAAUCAAGAGAAGAGAGGCCAGUACCAAUCUGUCUAGACUCAACUAAUUGUUGACUAUUGAUUUGCACCUUAAAAAUCAAACUUACUCUAUCAAGACAGAAUUAUUUUCUUAACCAUACACAUCAUGGUGAUAUGUUGCUUCUCAGGGAUUAAGAAAAAAAUAUGAAAGAUCAACCAUAUUUUCAAAACUGUCUGACACACAUACCUACACACACCUAAAGGUAAAAUAACUGAAUUAAGAUAGAAUUCUGAAUAGCUUUUAUUUUUUUAACCAUUUGAAAAAAUUUUCUAGAAAUUUUGUACUUUCAAUUUUAUUUCUAUGUAGUACAAACUUCCCCAAAUAUCACUUGGUGAUUGAGUCUCUAAAUAUUAAAUGUCUUUCUAACACUUGUAAACUGCAUUCUCUAGCUUAAAAAAAGCACAAAAGAUUCGGUGACUGUAUUAUUCUUUGGAGCCAGGGUUGUGGUUAUGUGGGCACUCAGCCCUUUAGGACACAACAGGUUGGUGAACCAUUGAUUCAUGAAACACUGCCAGGAGUGGCCUUCAGCCAGGCCCCCGGGCAAGUUCAGCCAGCACCAGUGCACGGCCAGGCCAGGAAGGACUAGUCAGACAUAGAACUUCCUGUCUUUGUCAGAAUCCUAGGAAUCUGGGAACUAUUCUCAAUUCCUCCCUUUUUCCUCCUUCUUAUAUCCAAUCAAUCACCACUGGCUCUGAACUGGUUCUACCUUCUAGAUACCUCUCCAACUAUCUGCUCCUCUUUAACUCUAUUGCUUCUUUCCUAGGCCAUGUUGGUUGGAUUUUUUUAAGGUUUUAUUUUCAUUUCAGUUAGUUAACAUACAGUGUUAUAUUAGUUUCAGGUGUACAAUAUAGUGAUUCAUCAUCAUCAUACAUACUUUCAUACAUCACCUGGUGCUCAUCCUGACAAGUGCAUUCCUUAAUCCCCAUCACCUAUUUAACCCAUCCUCCCACACCCCUCCUUUUGUAGUCAUCAAAAUAGUAUGGUACUGUCACAAAAACAGACACAUAGAUCAAUGCAACAGAAUAGAAAACCCAGAAUAAACCCACCACUAUAUGGUCAAUUAAUCUUCAACAACGCAGGAAAGAAUAUCCAGUGGGAAAAAAACAAUGUCUUCAACAAAUGGUGUUGGGAAAACUGGACAGCCACAUGCAAAAGAAUGAAACUGGACCAGUUUCUUACACCACAUGCAAAAACAAAUUCAAAAUGAAUUAAAGACCUAAAUGUUAUGACCUGAAACCAUAAAAAUCCUAGAAGAGCACACAGGCAGUAAUUUCUCUGACAUUGGCUAUAGCAACUCUUUUCUGGACGCAUCUCCUGAGGCAAGGGAAACAAAAGUAAAAAUAAACUAUUUGGACUUCAUCAAAAUAAAAAGCUUCUGCACAGUGAAGGAAACCAUCAACAGAACUUAAAAGCAACCACGAAUGAGAGAAGUUACUUGCAAAUAACAUAUCCAAUAAAAGGCUAGUAUCCAAAAUCUGUAAAGAACUUAUAAAAUCCAACACUCCCAAAACAAAUAAUCCAAUUAAAAAAAGGGCAGAAGACGUAAACAGACAUUUCUCCAAAGGAGUCAAUCAGAUAGCCAAUAGACACACGAAAGGAUGUUCAUCAUCCCCACUUACCAUCAAGGAAAUACAAAUCAAAGCUACAAUGAGAUACUGCCUCACACCAGUCAGAAUGGCUAAAAUCAACAACACAAGAAACAACAGGUGUUAGCGAGGAUGUGGUGUAAAAGGAACACUUAUGCACUAUUGGGAAUGCCUGGAUUUUCCAAAUGGGCUACAUCCAUGUACUUAGUCCCCUCUACCAAGUCCCUGUACUAUGGCCAGGUGGAUUAAAACAAGCAAGCAUAAACCUGAGCAAUCCUUCUCCUUAAGACUCCAAUGGUUUCCCUGCUGCUCUUAGACUAAAGAUCAAAAUCCACACCAUGGCCUGGAAGCCAUGAAAGAGCAGGCCCCUGCUCCACUCUUCAGUAUGCUCCUAUACCCCACAACACUAUUCCCCCAUCCUCUCCACUGCCCUACUCUCCCUGGGGUUCCUCACAGCUCAGGAGAUUAGAGACAGGGAAGACCCAGGUACCCACUUUUCCCUAAAAUUCCUUAGGUCGUUCUGAAACCACCACCGUGUUUGAAAGCAACUGGAGUCAAGGUAGAGCCAAUCUGAAACUUGUUCCUUAUGAUCAGUUUGAACCUGUAAGCAUCAGGAUCUGACUCUGGUUUACAAAGCAGGCCAGGAAAAUUUCCCAAAUGGCAAGUCACUGGGCAGAAUUUCUAGAGGAGCAGGUCACUGCUGCUACCUCUGCUACUCAAAAAAGGUUUAAAUCCACUGGGUAAAUAAAUAAAUAAAUAAAUAAAUAAAUAAAUAAAUAUUUAAAAAAAUAAAUCCACUGGGUAGGUGCUUUUUUACUUUCUAGAAAAUCUAAAGCUAGCCAAAAUAUGCAAUUAUGAGGCUGAGGAUGCAUUCACAAAAGCCCUGAAACCAUUAUCUCAGAGGGAGCAGAUGCUCCUCCAUAACCAAAACAGCUGGGAAGGUCUUUCUCUGGAGGAACAGAACCACAUGUUUGUAGACUCUAUCUAAGCCUGUUAGAACUGGGCUUGCGAAGUAGAUUUGGAUGAGCUCUGGGUUCAACUGUGUUCUUAAAACUAGACAACUAGUUCAAUUCCAUUACAGAAAGAUUCCAAUAUGUUAUCAAGUUCACUUUUCUACAAAUAUCUCAUGAACUGCAUUUUGAAAGCAGGAUUGAUUGUACUUGUCCUUGCUAUUUAUAGCACACACUAAGUCCUCAGCCAGCUGUGGGAGGAUAUGGCUACGUUUAGAUUCCCAUCUGAGUUGUGUGUGACAGUAUCUGGCACCCUUUCAACAACUGUAGUCAUUGCUUGGAGACUGAGCACAGCGGAAAAGAAGUCAACUUUUAAUGUCAGCAUAUCACACCCUUUCUAACAUUUUUGAAUAUGAAUGAGGCAGUAACAGUACAAUUAACCUUGAUCUUAACACUCUGUAGUCAGACAACUAUUUUACCAAAAGGUAGUAUCUAUCGCAAAAAAAAAAAAAAAAAAAAAAAAAAAAAAAA
rnacentral:lncRNA from 1 species